rnacentral:rRNA from 1 species
UUCCAGGCUCCUACGGGAGGCAGCAGUGAGGAAUAUUGGUCAAUGGGCGGAAGCCUGAACCAGCCAAGUCGCGUGAGGGAAUAAGGCCCUACGGGUCGUAAACCUCUUUUGCCGGGGAGCAAGGGCGGGGACGUGUCCCGGCCCGGAGAGUACCCGGAGAAAAAGCAUCGGCUAACUCCGUGCCAGCAGCCGCGGUAAUACGGAGGAUGCGAGCGUUAUCCGGAUUUAUUGGGUUUAAAGGGUGCGUAGGCGGUCCGGAAAGUCAGCGGUAAAAGCCCGGGGCUCAACCCCGGCGAGUCGUUGAAACUGUCGGACUAGAGACGGCGAGAAGUACGCGGAAUGCGCGGUGUAGCGGUGAAAUGCAUAGAUAUCGCGCAGAACUCCGAUUGCGAAGGCAGCGUACCGGCGCCGGACUGACGCUGAGGCACGAAAGCGUGGGUAUCGAACAGGAUUAGAUACCCCGGUAC